UCUCCGUUGGUGAACCAGCGGAGGGAUCAUUACCGAGUUUACAACUCCCAAACCCAAUGUGAACGUUACCAAACUGUUGCCUCGGCGGGAUCUCUGCCCCGGGUGCGUCGCAGCCCCGGACCAAGGCGCCCGCCGGAGGACCAACCAAAACUCUUUUUGUAUACCCCCUCGCGGGUUUUUUAUAAUCUGAGCCUUCUCGGCGCCUCUCGUAGGCGUUUCGAAAAUGAAUCAAAACUUUCAACAACGGAUCUCUUGGUUCUGGCAUCGAUGAAGAACGCAGU
rnacentral:misc_RNA from 1 species